CUAGAUGAAGUUUUUAAAAUAUGUGCUUGUCAAGCGCAAGAGGAGGUAAAUGAACUCCUUCUAGA
rnacentral:tRNA from 1 species